rnacentral:rRNA from 1 species
GACGAACGCUGGCGGCAUGCCUAAUACAUGCAAGUCGAGCGAGCAGAUGAAGUGCUUGCACUUCUGACGUUAGCGGCGAACGGGUGAGUAACACGUAAGGAAUCUACCUAUAAGCGGGGGAUAACAUUCGGAAACGGGUGCUAAUACCGCAUAAUAUCUUCUUCCGCAUGGAAGAAGAUUGAAAGACGGCUCUGCUGUCACUUAUAGAUGACCUUGCGGUGCAUUAGUUAGUUGGUGGGGUAACGGCCUACCAAGACGAUGAUGCAUAGCCGACCUGAGAGGGUGAUCGGCCACAUUGGGACUGAGACACGGCCCAAACUCCUACGGGAGGCAGCGGUAGGGAAUCUUCCGCAAUGGGCGAAAGCCUGAUGGAGCAAUGCCGCGUGAGUGAAGAAGGCCUUCGGGUCGUAAAACUCUGUUAUAAGAGAAGAACAAAUUGUAGAGUAACUGCUACAGUCUUGACGGUAUCUUAUCAGAAAGCCACGGCUAACUACGUGCCAGCCGCCGCGGUAA